rnacentral:rRNA from 1 species
AGAGUUUGAUCCUGGCUCAGGACGAACGCUGGCGGCGCGCCUAACACAUGCAAGUCGAACGAGCGAGAGAGAGCUUGCUUUCUCGAGCGAGUGGCGAACGGGUGAGUAACGCGUGAGGAACCUGCCUCAAAGAGGGGGACAACAGUUGGAAACGACUGCUAAUACCGCAUAAGCCCACAGCUCGGCAUCGAGCAGAGGGAAAAGGAGCAAUCCGCUUUGAGAUGGCCUCGCGUCCGAUUAGCUAGUUGGUGAGGUAAUGGCCCACCAAGGCGACGAUCGGUAGCCGGACUGAGAGGUUGAACGGCCACAUUGGGACUGAGACACGGCCCAGACUCCUACGGGAGGCAGCAGUGGGGAAUAUUGCACAAUGGGGGAAACCCUGAUGCAGCGACGCCGCGUGGAGGAAGAAGGUCUUCGGAUUGUAAACUCCUGUUGUUGAGGAAGAUAAUGACGGUACUCAACAAGGAAGUGACGGCUAACUACGUGCCAGCAGCCGCGGUAAAACGUAGGUCACAAGCGUUGUCCGGAAUUACUGGGUGUAAAGGGAGCGCAGGCGGGAAGACAAGUUGGAAGUGAAAUCUAUGGGCUCAACCCAUAAACUGCUUUCAAACUGUUUUUCUUGAGUAGUGCAGAGUAGCGGAAUUCCCGGUGUAGCGGUGGAAUGCGUAGAUAUCGGGAGGAACACCAGUGGCGAAGGCGGCCUACUGGGCACCAACUGACGCUGAGGCUCGAAAGUGUGGGUAGCAAACAGGAUUAGAUACCCUGGUAGUCCACACCGUAAACGAUGAUUACUAGGUGUUGGAGGAUUGACCCCUUCAGUGCCGCAGUUAACACAAUAAGUAAUCCACCUGGGGAGUACGACCGCAAGGUUGAAACUCAAAGGAAUUGACGGGGGCCCGCACAAGCAGUGGAGUAUGUGGUUUAAUUCGACGCAACGCGAAGAACCUUACCAAGUCUUGACAUCCCUUGACGAACAUAGAAAUAUGUUUUCUCUUCGGAGCAAGGAGACAGGUGGUGCAUGGUUGUCGUCAGCUCGUGUCGUGAGAUGUUGGGUUAAGUCCCGCAACGAGCGCAACCCUUACUGUCAGUUACUACGCAAGAGGACUCUGGCAGGACUGCCGUUGACAAAACGGAGGAAGGUGGGGAUGACGUCAAAUCAUCAUGCCCUUUAUGACUUGGGCUACACACGUACUACAAUGGCGUUAAACAAAGAGAAGCAAGACCGCGAGGUGGAGCAAAACUCAGAAACAACGUCCCAGUUCGGACUGCAGGCUGAAAUUCGCCUGGACGAAGUCGGAAUUGCUAGUAAUCGUGGAUCAGCAUGCCACGGUGAAUACGUUCC